CAACGCUGGCGGCGUGCUUACACAUGCAAGUCGAACGAUGAAGCCCAGCUUGCUGGGUGGAUUAGUGGCGAACGGGUGAGUAACACGUGAGUAACCUGCCCUUAACUCUGGGAUAAGCCUGGGAAACUGGGUCUAAUACCGGAUAGGAGCGCCUACCGCAUGGUGGGUGUUGGAAAGAUUUAUCGGUUUUGGAUGGACUCGCGGCCUAUCAGCUUGUUGGUGAGGUAAUGGCUCACCAAGGCGACGACGGGUAGCCGGCCUGAGAGGGUGACCGGCCACACUGGGACUGAGACACGGCCCAGACUCCUACGGGAGGCAGCAGUGGGGAAUAUUGCACAAUGGGCGAAAGCCUGAUGCAGCGACGCCGCGUGAGGGAUGACGGCCUUCGGGUUGUAAACCUCUUUCAGUAGGGAAGAAGCGAAAGUGACGGUACCUGCAGAAGAAGCACCGGCUAACUACGUGCCAGCAGCCGCGGUAAUACGUAGGGUGCGAGCGUUAUCCGGAAUUAUUGGGCGUAAAGAGCUCGUAGGCGGUUUGUCGCGUCUGUCGUGAAAGUCCGGGGCUUAACCCCGGAUCUGCGGUGGGUACGGGCAGACUAGAGUGCAGUAGGGGAGACUGGAAUUCCUGGUGUAGCGGUGGAAUGCGCAGAUAUCAGGAGGAACACCGAUGGCGAAGGCAGGUCUCUGGGCUGUAACUGACGCUGAGGAGCGAAAGCAUGGGGAGCGAACAGGAUUAGAUACCCUGGUAGUCCAUGCCGUAAACGUUGGGCACUAGGUGUGGGGACCAUUCCACGGUUUCCGCGCCGCAGCUAACGCAUUAAGUGCCCCGCCUGGGGAGUACGGCCGCAAGGCUAAAACUCAAAGGAAUUGACGGGGGCCCGCACAAGCGGCGGAGCAUGCGGAUUAAUUCGAUGCAACGCGAAGACCCUUACCAAGGCUUGACAUGUUCUCGAUCGCCGUAGAGAUACGGUUUCCCCUUUUGGGGCGGGUUCACAGGUGG
rnacentral:rRNA from 1 species